ensembl:misc_RNA Metazoa_SRP Metazoan signal recognition particle RNA
GCCGGGUGAGGUGGCGCGUGCCUGUAAUCCCAGCUCCUUGGGAGGCUGAGGCAGGAGAAUUGCUUGAAUCUGGGAGGCAGAGGUUGCAGUGAGCCACUGCAUUCCUGCCUGGGUGACAGAGUGAGACUCUGUCUCAA